CUGACCAAGUGGCUGCGACAUGUUAAACAUUCUCUUCAUAUCACAGCCUGCUUGGAUCAGUA
rnacentral:pre_miRNA from 1 species